rnacentral:rRNA from 1 species
GAUGAACGCUGGUGGCGUGCCUAACACAUGCCAGUCGAGCGAUUCUCUUCGGAGAAGAGCGGCGGACGGGUGAGUAACGCGUGGGUAACCUGCCCUGUACACACGGAUAACAUACCGAAAGGUAUGCUAAUACGAGAUAACAUGCUUUUAUCGCAUGGUAGAAGUAUCAAAGCUUUUGCGGUACAGGAUGGACCCGCGUCUGAUUAGCUAGUUGGUGAGGUAACGGCUCACCAAGGCGACGAUCAGUAGCCGACCUGAGAGGGUGAUCGGCCACAUUGGAACUGAGACACGGUCCAAACUCCUACGGGAGGCAGCAGUGGGGAAUAUUGCACAAUGGGCGAAAGCCUGAUGCAGCAACGCCGCGUGAGCGAUGAAGGCCUUCGGGUCGUAAAGCUCUGUCCUCAAGGAAGAUAAUGACGGUACUUGAGGAGGAAGCCCCGGCUAACUACGUG